ACUUUAGAGGAUCCUAGAUUUGAUUUUGUGAAGGCGACUUGCCUGCCAGAAAAAGAUAAGCCUAAACAAACUAGUACAUCAUCUAAAGUCGACCACUCUGUUAAAUUCAGUCCGAUAAAUGGCGACCAAAGUUGCGUUUCAUUUGAAAACCUUCCCAAAGCUUGGCUAAUAUACAUGUUAAUUGGUAUGGGCAUGGGUAUGUUAUGUUCUCUCCUCCACAUUGUAGUACAACCAUAAAACGUUUUCGGCUCGGCUCAGCUCAGCUCAGCUCACAGAUGGAGGAAGCCUCUCUGGUCCUGGUUUGAAAUGUUUACUUGUUUCCAGGGUCUGUACUAAUUUUCUUGUCAAUUUCUUAUGAAACUGUGCUUGACGGAAGCAUGAAUAGUUUAAAACAGUGAUUCGAUUAUUGUAUUAUUAUUAUUUUGAGGAUUUUGAAUUUUGGCAACA